CCUUGGCUUGAAGGUGUGUUUGAUUAGCUCAUAAAAAGUUGUUAUGGCUUUGUUUGCUACAAUGGUUGAUUAGGUAAGACUUCGAACUCGCUGUACAAUAUUUUUUCCCGAUCGUUGUUGAUUAUGUUGUGUUUUUCCCUUUCUCUGCUCUUGCCGGAAAGGUGACUACUACCAGUAUCUUGCUGAGUUUAAGACUGACCAGGAAAGAAAAGAGGUUGUUGAACAAUCACUGAAGGGUUAUGAGG